UACUUAAUUCUCAGGAGUGAAAC
rnacentral:miRNA from 1 species